CUUGCAGACGGUUUGUUUCCACGCUUUUAGAAGGAUACGGGUUUAGUGUUUAAAGUUGGGUUAUGGUUGAGGUUAGAGGAAGGGUGAGAGGGUUUGAGGUCAUUCUGAAAUGUGAUCAGUUGGUCACUGCAACCCUAAAGAAUACACGUUUGGGGUGUUAUAGGUUGGGGUAAAGGGUAGGAUUGAGGUUAAAAAGAGGUGUUAAGCCUAAAUCAUAACGGUAAGCCCAAAACCUGCUCAAGCCAACCCGUAAUGCUGACUUUCUCACACCUAACCCUCUCACCCUAUCCCCCAACUACCUAACGGUUAACCCUCUCUUCCAAAAACCCUUUCUCUAAUCCCCUCACCCAAUUCCAAACCCAGACGCUUGUUCCUUGCACCUGUCAUGAGCUUUUUUCAGUUAGUGGAGAUGACAGCGCUGUUGGACGGUCUACGCUGGUGUGGCCUAGGAUAAGGAGAGGAACGCCAGUGCUGACUUGUCGAUGAAACGAAUUUAAGGCCUGGUCUAUUUAGUGGAGAUGACAGCGCUGUUGGACUGUCUGUGCUGGUGUGGCUGGUUGGCUUGUGGAGCAGAGGUCAAUGAGGAGAGGAACGUCAGUGCUGACUGUCAAUGAAACAAAUUUAAGAUCACACCCUGGAGAGGGAGUUUGUCAUGCCUGUACAGCUGCUCUGGCCACUGGCAUUUGGACUGUCUGGGGUUUGCUGUACUGCCUUGGACAUCGACUUGUGGGGGCCUGGACUGUGGGACCAAUGGAAUGGACUGGUUAAGGUAAGUGUCACAUUAUACUGGCAGAG